UUGACUGCCCUGAAGAAUCAAGUUCUCUGUUUAUAUACAGAGCCAGUACAGCAUGGGUAGCAGCAGUGCAAGUUUCCCCAUCCUACUUCACUAACAUGCCUCAGCCACCUUAAGAGGGAAGAGGAGAGGUCUGUCUCCAUGCACAUUUAGUCCUCAACUUCU
rnacentral:sRNA from 1 species